rnacentral:rRNA from 1 species
UACGGAGGAUGCAAGCGUUAUCCGGAUUUAUUGGGUUUAAAGGGUGCGCAGGUUGUUUGAUAAGUCAGUGAUGAAAGUCUGUCGCUUAACGGUAGGAUUGCCAUUGAUACUGUUAGACUUGAAUAUGGAUGAGGUAGGCAGAAUGUGUAGUGUAGCGGUGAAAUGCAUAGAUAUUACACAGAACACCGAUUGCGAAGGCAGCUUACUAAUCCAUCAUUGACGCUGAGGCACGAAAGCGUGGGGAUCAAA